CUGCUGUCCUGUGCACAUGCCACCAGGGAUAUUUGUACUGUGCUGCCCAGGAUGGACAAGCAACAGGGAGAAAUCCCCAAAUGUAACCUUCAGAGUAGAAGUGUAUGUUCCCAAGUCUACAAAUAUCUGCAGUUCUGCAGGUUCUGUUGGACAUUUUCCGUGGUAGAUGUUCUUUCCACCUUCCUGUCUCAUCUAGGCAAGGGUUAAGUGAGAUGAGAUGCAAGAAGCACAGUGCCCAGAUACAGACAGACACCAGCAAAGAAAAAGACAUCAGACAUUAAAAGAUGUUUUCCACCGGAGAUAAAUCUAAUCUGGCACACACACACACAAAUCUCUUUUUGUGUAAUAUUCAUUCCACAG